GAUGAAGAACGUAGCGAAAUGCGAUAAGUAAUGCGAAUUGCAGAUUUCAGUGAAUCAUCGAGUCUUUGAACGCACAUUGCGCCCCCUGGUAUUCCGGGGGGCAUGCCUGUCCGAGCGUCAUUGCUGCCCUCAAGCACGGCUUGUGUGUUGGGCCUCCGUCCUCCUCCCGGGGGACGGGCCCGAAAGGCAGCGGCGGCACCGCGUCCGGUCCUCGAGCGUAUGGGGCUUCGUCACCCGCUCUUGUAGGCCCGGCCGGCGCUUGCCGACACAUCAAUCUUUUUUCCAGGUUGACCUCGGAUCAGGUAGGGAUACCCGCUGAACUUAAGCAUAUCAAUAAGCGGAGGA
rnacentral:misc_RNA from 1 species